CUCAUGGCCAUAUUUGCUUUAGGUUCUGGUCAGGAACAAAAAAUGUCUGCAGGAAAUUCUACAACAAAGGUGCAACAUAAGCCUUCAAAGAAGCCUCUGAAAAUUAAACCUUGGUGUUGCCUAUUUAAUUGCGGACAUUCUCAAUGCAAAGGCUAAGUUGAGAGUUUUUCCAAACAUUUGGCCUCAGAUAUGUGUUCAAUUGCGAUUAGACUUGGCUGUAAUCUGUGACGAAUUUUUACUAUAAAGACUAGUUCAAUAAUAUAUCGAAUGA